UGGAGUGGUGCGAUCAUUGUUGCAGGUUCUGUCAAACCAGAGUGGAAACCUUCAUCCAUGACUUUUCAGGCAAAUAUUGCAGCUGCUGCUCCAUGUGUGGGAAGAUUUUAUUAGACUUGAGUACCCCACUCCAGGUCAUAUUUCCAAACAAAGGGGUAAAUAGGAAAUCUAGAGGAAUAAAGAAAAGAAGAAUGAAUAAUGCAAAAGUUGAGAAAAAAUAUUGUGGUGCAGCUUCUAAGGGUCCUUACCCCUCUGAUCAAGGAAGUAAAGCAUCUCACAAAUUCUGAUACCAUUCAAGUUUCUGAUAAUUGUUGAAGAAUCGUAGUUCAGUGUUGCUUAGUGUGCUGUAGAUUGAAUAUCUUGUUUGACAUUAUUUUGAUUGAGGUGAUUGCUCUUGAAAAAAACUGAUAGAAGA